CAGUAGCCGCGGUAAUACGUAGGGUGCAAGCGUUGUCCGGAAUCAUUGGGCGUAAAGCGCGCGUAGGUGGCCAUUUAAGUCCGCUGUGAAAGUCAAAGGCUCAACCUUUGAAAGCCGGUGGAUACUGGAUGGCUAGAGUACGGAAGAGGCGAGCGGAAUUCCUGGUGUAGCGGUGGAAUGCGCAGAUAUCAGGAGGAACACCAAUAGCGAAGGCAGCUCGCUGGGACGUUACUGACACUGAGGCGCGAAAGCGUGGGGAGCGAACAGGAUUAGAUACCCGCGUAGUCCCUGUCUCUUAUAA
rnacentral:rRNA from 1 species